CCACAUUACAUUGAAACACCAGUUCCCUUAUGAUCACUGAAGUUAAGCAAUUUUGAGCCUGGUUAGUAGCUAAGUGGGUAGCUGCUUGGGAAUGCCAGAUGCUGUAAG